UAACUAUCAUUGCGGUCGUGUUUGGUUCCCAUCGCAGAGCUUCUUCUUUAUACUGAGGGUUGAGGAGAUCGACAAAGUGAGAGAGUGCCAACGUAGCGGUUGGUUAUCAUCGCAGAGCUUCUUCUUUACGUUGAGGGUUGAGGAGAUCGACGAAUUGGGUGCUCAGUGAUGAUGAAGUUGGAGAAGCUGAUAUAGGAACCAGGCUCCUGUUGCAAAUUGGAAUACAAGAGACAUACAAAACCAAAUUAUCCAAGCAUCAAAAGUUUGACGUCCAUUACGUGAGACAAGAUUUUGAUGCUAAGUGUAAAGGAUUGAAGAACACGUUAAACGAGAACACUCACGAUGGACCAAAAACCUCAUUCCAUCAAUGAUUCAGAACUACCCUUUGCAUCACCAACAUGUGCACCACCAAUAUGUCGACAAUUUUGGAAAGCUGGAAGCUAUGAUAAUGGGAAUACUCCCAAGUCCAACAUUCUAAGGGGAGGUAGUCAUUUACAUGUCCAUCCCAAAUUUCUUCAUUCAAAUGCCACGUCUCACAAAUGGGCUUUUGGUGGUAUGUGUGAGACUAUUGCAGAGCUGCUUGAUAAUUCAAUAGAUCAGAUAACAAAUGGGGCCACAUUUGCUAUUGUGGACAAAAUAAAAAAUCCAAGGGAUGGAAGUGCAGCUUUACUGAUUCAAGAUGAUGGGGGUGGGAUGGACCCUGAUGCAAUAAGAUGUUGCUUGAGUUUUGGUUUCUCAGAUAAGAAGUCAUCGGCCAUUGGAAAAUAUGGAAAUGGUUUCAAAACUAGCUCAAUGCGACUUGGGGCAGAUGUUGUCGUUUUUAGUCGCCACUUGAAGGACAGGAAGUUGACUCAAAGCAUUGGUCUUCUGUCAUACACAUUUCUAACCCAAACAGGACAUGACAGAAUAGUGGUACCAAUGGUAGAUUAUGAGUUCAAUAGGUCUACUGGCUCUCUAGAAAUGUUGCAGCGAUUAAACAAAGAGAAUUUCGCAUUGAAUCUUUCUAUGCUCAUGCAAUGGUCACCAUAUUCUACUGAAGUCGAGCUUUUGAAACAAUUCGAUGACAUUGGAUAUGGCACAAAAAUUGUGAUAUACAACCUGUGGUUUAAUGAUGACAGUAGAUUGGAGCUGAACUUUGAUUCUAAUCCAGAGGAUAUUUGUUUGCAUACUGAGGCAAAAACGGCACAAAAAAUUAAUGCCAGGAUGACAGCAACUGAACAGCAUAUUGCUACCCAAUUUCAAUAUUCUCUUCGUGUGUAUUUAUCUAUAUUAUACAUAAGGAUACCUGAAAACUUCAAGAUAAUAUUGCGGGGACGUGCAGUUGAGUUUCACAACAUUGCCAGCGAUCUCAAGUUCCCCGAGUAUAUCAGAUAUAAGCCUCAGAAGGGAGGAAUGGCAGAGGGGGAAGUUCUUACAAGUAUAGGAUUUCUGAAGGAAGCUCCACAUGUCAACAUUCAUGGCUUCAGUAUUUACCACAAGAAUCGUUUAAUACUGCCAUUUUGGCGUGUUCUUACCACGCUUAGCAGUGUAGGCCGAGGAGUUGUUGGUGUUUUGGAAGCAAACUUCAUUGAACCUACGCACAAUAAGCAAGAUUUUGAGAGAACUCCACUGUUUCAAAAGCUUGAACAACGUUUGAAGGAAAUGGCCCGUGAAUACUGGGAUUAUCAUUGUGGAUUAAUUGGGUAUCAUCAGAUGAAGACAAGGCCUUCAGUUCAGGAAUCUUCUCAAUUAGAUAGACCCAAUAAUGGAGCUCAUUCACCUUUAGUGGUGGAAGUUAACCCGUCUUCUAUUGCUACUAAGGCAACAGUGAUAAGUUCAGGGCCACUGCAUCCAGUCACUCCUUCUAGCAAUUACGAUAGAGAACUGCAAUCCAAUCUGCAAGGAGAACACUUAAAGAGAAAAGAACAAAGCUCUUUAAUUGAAAACAAAAAAGAGAAAAUUAUCAUUGAUGUUGUGGCUGAUAAUGAUCUGCCCUCAAUGAAGGAGAAUGAAGAGGUUCUAAACCUAAUGCAAGAGAAUACAAAACUUGGAGAACGAUGUUUGGAUGCACAAAAGAGGGAAGAACAACUAACUGUGAAGUUAAAACAGCUUGAACACGAACUAGCAUUGGCACAACUUGAGUAUGAUCGGCUUGUAGCCGAAGUGCAGUUGGUUGAUGGAGUGCAAGAGGAAAUAACUAAGUUCCAUUAAUCAUGCCCUGUCCUACAAAUUUGCGAGCAAGUAGCUAGCUCUGUUCACGUAGUCCUCAUGGAAAAGCGAACAAUGUGAGCUAAGGGAAACAAUGACAAUAGUCAAACAUUAGAAUUGAAAAGGGGGUAGGGACCACAUCUUUUGUAGAAGCAGAUUCAUGGACUUUUGUAAGACAUCCAACUGCUGCAGAAACUUUUUUUGGUGAUGUGCCCAGAUAGUGAAAAAUAGAGAAAGGUUAUAAAUGAAAGGGAAAUCCACUAGGAUGUGUUUUGUAUGUUGUUAGUUCUCUCACCCAUACAUACAUGCAAGUAAGAAGCUCUGACUAGAAGGUAAAACUAAAACUAAAAAAGUUAUGUUAUCGUCACCUAUUCCCUAGAAAAUACUCAAGUGCAACUAACUCAUUAGUGUAUUUACUGUUUAAUCCCAACUGGGAAAUAUUAGUUUCUGUAUGGUA